rnacentral:rRNA from 1 species
GGGGUAACGGCCUACCAAGCCGAUGAUCCGUAGGGGGCGUGAGAGCGUGGCCCCCCACACUGGCACUGAGACACGGGCCAGACUCCUACGGGAGGCAGCAGUGAGGAAUAUUGCACAAUGGGCGCAAGCCUGAUGCAGCAACGCCGCGUGAGGGACGAAGGCCUUCGGGUUGUAAACCUCUUUUCUGAGGGACGAGGAAGGACGGUACCUCAGGAAUAAGUCUCGGCUAACUACGUGCCAGCAGCCGCGGUAAAACGUAGGAGGCGAGCGUUAUCCGGAUUUACUGGGCGUAAAGCGCGCGCAGGUGGCUUCGUGAGUCGGACAUGAAAGCUCCUGGCUUAACUGGGAGAGGCUGUUCGAUACUGCGGGGCUUGAGGUUGGGAGAGGGACGCGGAAUUCCCGGUGUAGUGGUGGAAUGCGUAGAUAUCGGGAGGAACACCAGUGGCGCAAGCGGCGUCCUGGCCCACACCUGACGCUGAGGUGCGAAAGCGUGGGUAGCAAACAGGAUUAGAUACCCUGGUAGUCCACGCUGUAAACGAUGUCAACUGGGUGUCGGUAGUUUUACACUAUCGGUGCCGAAGCUAACGCG